GGGUUGUGAGGUUAAGCGACUAAGCGUACACGGUGGAUGCCCUGGCAGUCAGAGGCGAUGAAGGACGUGCUAAUCUGCGAUAAGCGUCGGUAAGGUGAUAUGAACCGUUAUAACCGGCGAUUUCCGAAUGGGGAAACCCAGUGUGAUUCGUCACACUAUCAUUAACUGAAUCCAUAGGUUAAUGAGGCGAACCGGGGGAACUGAAACAUCUAAGUACCCCGAGGAAAAGAAAUCAACCGAGAUUCCCCCAGUAGCGGCGAGCGAACGGGGAGGAGCCCAGAGCCUGAAUCAGUGUGUGUGUUAGUGGAAGCGUCUGGAAAGGCGCGCGAUACAGGGUGACAGCCCCGUACACAAAAAUGCACAUGCUGUGAGCUCGAUGAGUAGGGCGGGACACGUGGUAUCCUGUCUGAAUAUGGGGGGACCAUCCUCCAAGGCUAAAUACUCCUGACUGACCGAUAGUGAACCAGUACCGUGAGGGAAAGGCGAAAAGAACCCCGGCGAGGGGAGUGAAAAAGAACCUGAAACCGUGUACGUACAAGCAGUGGGAGCCUCUUUAUGGGGUGACUGCGUACCUUUUGUAUAAUGGGUCAGCGACUUAUAUUCUGUAGCAAGGUUAACCGAAUAGGGGAGCCGAAGGGAAACCGAGUCUUAACUGGGCGUUAAGUUGCAGGGUAUAGACCCGAAACCCGGUGAUCUAGCCAUGGGCAGGUUGAAGGUUGGGUAACACUAACUGGAGGACCGAACCGACUAAUGUUGAAAAAUUAGCGGAUGACUUGUGGCUGGGGGUGAAAGGCCAAUCAAACCGGGAGAUAGCUGGUUCUCCCGAAAGCUAUUUAGGUAGCGCCUCGUGAAUUCAUCUCCGGGGGUAGAGCACUGUUUCGGCAAGGGGGUCAUCCCGACUUACCAACCCGAUGCAAACUGCGAAUACCGGAGAAUGUUAUCACGGGAGACACACGGCGGGUGCUAACGUCCGUCGUGAAGAGGGAAACAACCCAGACCGCCAGCUAAGGUCCCAAAGUCAUGGUUAAGUGGGAAACGAUGUGGGAAGGCCCAGACAGCCAGGAUGUUGGCUUAGAAGCAGCCAUCAUUUAAAGAAAGCGUAAUAGCUCACUGGUCGAGUCGGCCUGCGCGGAAGAUGUAACGGGGCUAAACCAUGCACCGAAGCUGCGGCAGCGACGCUUAUGCGUUGUUGGGUAGGGGAGCGUUCUGUAAGCCUGUGAAGGUGUACUGUGAGGUAUGCUGGAGGUAUCAGAAGUGCGAAUGCUGACAUAAGUAACGAUAAAGCGGGUGAAAAGCCCGCUCGCCGGAAGACCAAGGGUUCCUGUCCAACGUUAAUCGGGGCAGGGUGAGUCGACCCCUAAGGCGAGGCCGAAAGGCGUAGUCGAUGGGAAACAGGUUAAUAUUCCUGUACUUGGUGUUACUGCGAAGGGGGGACGGAGAAGGCUAUGUUGGCCGGGCGACGGUUGUCCCGGUUUAAGCGUGUAGGCUGGUUUUCCAGGCAAAUCCGGAAAAUCAAGGCUGAGGCGUGAUGACGAGGCACUACGGUGCUGAAGCAACAAAUGCCCUGCUUCCAGGAAAAGCCUCUAAGCAUCAGGUAACAUCAAAUCGUACCCCAAACCGACACAGGUGGUCAGGUAGAGAAUACCAAGGCGCUUGAGAGAACUCGGGUGAAGGAACUAGGCAAAAUGGUGCCGUAACUUCGGGAGAAGGCACGCUGAUAUGUAGGUGAAGCGACUUGCUCGUGGAGCUGAAAUCAGUCGAAGAUACCAGCUGGCUGCAACUGUUUAUUAAAAACACAGCACUGUGCAAACACGAAAGUGGACGUAUACGGUGUGACGCCUGCCCGGUGCCGGAAGGUUAAUUGAUGGGGUUAGCGGUAACGCGAAGCUCUUGAUCGAAGCCCCGGUAAACGGCGGCCGUAACUAUAACGGUCCUAAGGUAGCGAAAUUCCUUGUCGGGUAAGUUCCGACCUGCACGAAUGGCGUAAUGAUGGCCAGGCUGUCUCCACCCGAGACUCAGUGAAAUUGAACUCGCUGUGAAGAUGCAGUGUACCCGCGGCAAGACGGAAAGACCCCGUGAACCUUUACUAUAGCUUGACACUGAACAUUGAGCCUUGAUGUGUAGGAUAGGUGGGAGGCUUUGAAGUGUGGACGCCAGUCUGCAUGGAGCCGGCCUUGAAAUACCACCCUUUAAUGUUUGAUGUUCUAACGUUGGCCCCUGAUCGGGGUUGCGGACAGUGUCUGGUGGGUAGUUUGACUGGGGCGGUCUCCUCCUAAAGAGUAACGGAGGAGCACGAAGGUUGGCUAAUCCUGGUCGGACAUCAGGAGGUUAGUGCAAUGGCAUAAGCCAGCUUGACUGCGAGCGUGACGGCGCGAGCAGGUGCGAAAGCAGGUCAUAGUGAUCCGGUGGUUCUGAAUGGAAGGGCCAUCGCUCAACGGAUAAAAGGUACUCCGGGAUAACAGGCUGAUACCGCCCAAGAGUUCAUAUCGACGGCGGUGUUUGGCACCUCGAUGUCGGCUCAUCACAUCCUGGGGCUGAAGUAGGUCCCAAGGGUAUGGCUGUUCGCCAUUUAAAGUGGUACGCGAGCUGGGUUUAGAACGUCGUGAGACAGUUCGGUCCCUAUCUGCCGUGGGCGCUGGAGAACUGAGGGGGGCUGCUCCUAGUACGAGAGGACCGGAGUGGACGCAUCACUGGUGUUCGGGUUGUCAUGCCAAUGGCACUGCCCGGUAGCUAAAUGCGGAAGAGAUAAGUGCUGAAAGCAUCUAAGCACGAAACUUGCCCCGAGAUGAGUUCUCCCUGAGACUUUAAGUCUCCUGAAGGAACGUUGAAGACGACGACGUUGAUAGGCCGGGUGUGUAAGCGCAGCGAUGCGUUGAGCUAACCGGUACUAAUGAACCGUGAGGCUUAACCUUACAACGCCGAAGGUGUUU
rnacentral:rRNA from 1 species